CUCAACUGGACGAUUUCUACAGCUUACAUAAACUUGGUACUUACGAAGGUAAUGUAGAAUCGGCAGUUGCGACAUCUAAGAACUAUGAAAAUAAGCCCAUCUGGUUAGGAGAAACAUCUUCCGGUUAUGGUGGAGGAACGCCAAAUUUGGCUGACCGAUAUGUAGCCGGUUUCAUGUGGUUAGAUAAACUUGGGGUAUCAGCAUCUAGAGGAAUAAAGGGCGUUUUCAGACAAACGUUUGUUGGCAGUAGCUACGCUAUGGUAUCAGACAGCAACAAUCCAAAUCCUGAUUAUUGGUUGACAGUUUUAUAUAAAAGAUUGGUUGGUAGCCCAGUGUUGACACCACCAAAUACAAACAGUCGUAAUAUCAGAAUGUACGCUCAUUGUACUAAUAGGAACAGUGAUUAUAACUACCCAGCUGGCAGUGUUACUGUUUAUAUGUUAAAUGUUGGAAACACAUCAGUAACAGUUAACCUGGGACACAACCAUCAUAUAGAUCUGUAUAUCUUAACACCUGGAUCUAAAGGAGGACUCGCAUCACAGACUGUGAAAUUAAAUGGAAAGGAACUGUUUCUUGACCACGAUGAUCACUUACCUCCACUACCCGGAUAUAAAAAAUGGGGUGACGUAACCCUUGAAGGACAUA